rnacentral:rRNA from 1 species
GUGUAACGGAGAAUCAGGGUUCGAUUCCGGAGAAGGAGCUUGAGAAUUGGCUACUACAUCUAAGGAAGGCAGCAGGCGCGCAAAUUACCCAAUCCCGAUUCGGGGAGGUAGUGACAAAAAAUAACAAUACCGGGCCUUUUUGGGCUUGGUAAUUGGAAUGAGGGAGAGUUAAACGGGCCAUCGAGUAUCUAUUGGAGGGCAAGUCUGGUGCCAGCGGCUGCGGUAAUACCAGCUCCAAUAGCGUAUAUUAAAGUUGUUGCAGUUAAAAAGCUCGUAGUUGGACUUGUGUGCGCUGUCCGCGGGUGGCCUGCGCCCAAAAGGGCGUUUCGGUUCGGCCCCGGUGGCGCCUUGAAAUCUGCAGCUGGGGGGACGUUGGCCUUAAUUGGUCGGCGACCGCACGCCGGCUGCUCGGUUACUGUGAGAAAAUUGGAGUGUUCAAGGCAGGCAUUGGGUGCAAUUGAAUACAUUAGCAUGGAAUAAUAAAAUAUGGCUCCUGCCGUAUUUUGUUGGUUUUGACUGGUGGGAGUAAUGAUUGAUAGGGACGGUUGGGGGUGCUAGUAUUGAGCGGCCAGAGGUGAAAUUCAUGGAUUCGCUCAAGACUAACUUAUGCGAAAGCAUUCACCAAGGACGUCCUCUUUAAUCAAGAACGAAAGUUGGGGGAUCGAAGACGAUCAGAUACCGUCGUAGUCUCAACCAUAAACUAUGUCGACUUGGGAUCGGCGGUAGUUUUUUCAUUAAGACACUGUCGGGACCACGGGAGAAAUCAAAGUGUCUGGACUCUGGGGGAAGUAUGGUCGCAAGGCUGAAACUUGAAGGAAUUGACGGAAGGGCACCACCAGGAGUGGAGCCUGCGGCUUAAUUUGACCCAACACGGGGAAACUUACCAGGUCCAGAGAUGUAGAGGAUUGACAGAUUGAAGCUCUUUCUUGAUCACUUCGGUGGUGGUGCAUGGCCGUUCUUAGUUGGUGGAGUGAUUUGUCUGGUUAAUUCCGUUAACGAACGAGACCUCAGCCUGCUAGUGUAGUCGGCUGGAUUGCCUUUGGCGAUCCGUGAUUUCGACUUCUUAGAGGGACAAUCGACGCGCAGUCGAUGGAAGUUUGAGGCAAUAACAGGUCUGUGAUGCCCUUAGAUGUCCUGGGCCGCACGCGCGCUACACUGCUGGGCUCAGCGAGUUUUACUUGGCCGAGAGGCCCGGUUAAUCUUGUGAAAUCCCAGCGUGCUUGGGCUCGCCUCCUGCAACUGGAGGCGCCAACGAGGAAUUCCUAGUAGACGCAGGUCAUCAACCUGCAUCGAUUACGUCCCUGCCCUUUGUACACACCGCCCGUCGUUCCAUAAGAGUGAGGCAUCCGGUGAAUUCUCGGGAGAGCCUGGGCGUGGCCAGCAAUGGUCUGCUCGGGUUUGAACUUGCAUAAACUUGGUGCCUAUGAUUAGGGAAAAGUCGUAACAAGGUU